UAGGGAAUAUUGGGCAAUGGACGAAAGUCUGACCCAGCCAUGCCGCGUGCAGGAAGAAGGCCUUCUGGGUUGUAAACUGCUUUUGAACGGGAACAAAGAGCCCUUGCGAGGGAAGUUGAGUGUACCGUUAGAAUAAGCACCGGCUAACUCCGUGCCAGCAGCCGCGGUAAUACGGAGGGUGCAAGCGUUGUCCGGAUUUAUUGGGUUUAAAGGGUGCGUAGGCGGUCCUUUAAGUCAGUGGUGAAAGCCAACAGCUCAACUGUUGAACUGCCAUUGAUACUGGAGGACUUGAGUACAGACGAGGUAGGCGGAAUUGACGGUGUAGCGGUGAAAUGCAUAGAUAUCGUCAAGAACACCGAUUGCGAAGGCAGCUUACUAGACUGUAACUGACGCUGAGGCACGAAAGUGCGGGGAUCAAACA
rnacentral:rRNA from 1 species